rnacentral:miRNA from 1 species
UUUGUCUCGUAACUGCCCUGAAG